AUGAAGAGUGACUGUGUUGCUGUGGGCACAGAUACUCAAUACUUUGGGGCUGGCUCCCGACUCAUCGUUCUAGGAAGGGAUGGGUUGGACUGGGAACAAAACCGAUACAGACUUGGGGAACGGGCCGCCGAGGUUUGGUUGCAACGUUCUAUCUCUGUGUCCUAUGAGCAGCAGUUCGGCCCAGGUACCCGGUUAGUGGUCACAGAUGACCUGACCAAGGUGACUCCCCCAAAAGUGACUGUGUUUCAGCCAUCUGAGGAAGAGAUUGAGAAAAAGGGAAAGGCCACUCUGGUCUGUCUGGCCACAGGCUUCUACCCUGACCUGGUAGAGCUGAGCUGGUGGGUGAAUGGGCAGGAGACCCAGGUUGGAGUCAGCACAGACCCUCAGCCUUCCAAGGAGCAGCCUUAUAAGAACGACUCAAGCUAUUCACUGAGCAGCCGGCUCCGGGUUUCUGCUCCCUUCUGGCGCAAUCCCAAGAACAGCUUCCGUUGCCAAGUACUGUUCCAUGGGAUCUCAGAGGAUGAGGACUGGAAGGGUAAUGGGAGCAAACCUAUCACCCAGAAUGUCAGUGACCAGACCUGGGGAAAAGCAGAUUGUGGGGUCACCUCUGAGUCCUAUCAACGUAGUGUCCAGUCUGCUACCUUCUUCUAUGAGAUUCUGCUGGGGAAAGCCAUGCUGUAUGGUCUGCUGGUCAGUGCUCUGGUGUGGAGAACUAUGGCCAAGAAAAAGUAUUCUUGAGACCAGCUGUGGACUUGACAGCAGGGAACCAAAAGCAAGUCAUAUGACCCUGACUUGGCUUUUUCAUCUAUUUCCAGCCUGUGUUCCAGAAGAGGUGCUUUUCUUUCCCUCCUCAUCUUCAUCCCUUAUAGAUUUCCUCAAAGAGAACUAUAUAAGCCAGAGAGAACAAAAGUGGUGGAUUAAUCAUAAAACAAUAAAAAUGUCCUGGUGUGGUCUCACUCU